rnacentral:rRNA from 1 species
AUUGAACGCUGGCGGCAGGCCUAACACAUGCAAGUCGAGCGGAUGAAGGGAGCUUGCUCCUGGAUUCAGCGGCGGACGGGUGAGUAAUGCCUAGGAAUCUGCCUGGUAGUGGGGGAUAACGUCCGGAAACGGGCGCUAAUACCGCAUACGUCCUGAGGGAGAAAGUGGGGGAUCUUCGGACCUCACGCUAUCAGAUGAGCCUAGGUCGGAUUAGCUAGUUGGUGGGGUAAAGGCCUACCAAGGCGACGAUCCGUAACUGGUCGGAGAGGAUGAUCAGUCACACGGGAAGGGAGACACGGUCCAGAGGCCUACGGGAGGCAGCAGUGGGGAAUAUUGGGCAAUGGGCGGAAGCCUGGUCCAGCGGUGCCGCGUGUGUGAAGAAGGUCUUCGGAUUGGAAAGCACGUUAAGUUGGGAGGAAGGGCAGUAAGUUAAUACCUUGCUGUUGUGACGUUACCAACAGAAUAAGCACCGGCUAACUUCGUG